rnacentral:rRNA from 1 species
UACGGGGGGGGGCAAGCGUUGUUCGGAAUUACUGGGCGUAAAGGGCUCGUAGGUGGCCAACUAAGUCAGACGUGAAAUCCCUCGGCUUAACCGGGGAACUGCGUCUGAUACUGGAUGGCUUGAGUUUGGGAGAGGGACGCGGAAUUCCAGGGUGUAGCGGUGAAAUGCGUAGAUAAUCUGGAGGAACACCGGUGGCGAAGGCGGCGUCCUGGGACCAACACUGACACUGAUGAGCGAAGCCAGGGGAGGACAAAAGCGGG